GUGUACUCACUUAUGUGAGACACUGUAGUUGAAGAGAAGUAAAUGUACAAUAUUUCCCCCUGAAGUGUGGUGGGGUACAAGUAGAAAGUGGCAAGCAAAUUAAAUAAUCAAGGAAAAUAGACGUUCCUCAAAUUUGUGCUGAAGUACAGUACUUAAGUAAAUGUACUUGGUUACAUUCCAGCACUCGUCAGCAGAUUUAUGGACAGUAACUGAAAUGACGGUAAUUGGGAACAAUGGACCAAGUAUAGUAGUAUUUCUUUGGCCCUGAAUUACUUUAAAACAUUAUCUAAAAUUGAUAAUAUAAUAUUCAUACAUUUUUUGAAUGUUCCUCAAUCAUAAAAUGUCAUUUUUCUUUGCGUUGGACAACAAUUUGAAGACUUUUCUCAUAUCUUGGCAAGAAAGCUCUCAACCACUUGUAAAAUUUUCUCUUACCUAAGAGAAAAGGAAAAAUUAGAAAACAUUGGUGAAUUCCAGAACUCAAUGGGUUCUAACAAAAAAAAAAGAACAAACUGUGGAUACCAACAAAAAUCAGAGAAAAUCUUGCCUUAUAUUGUUUCAUGAGGUCCAAUGUCAGCACUGACAUAUCACUUUUUAAACGGAUAUUGUGAAUUUGGUAGCACAGUGGCCUAUUUACAUAUCAGCAAAUGUAGAGCAACAUUUGUAUUCAUGUGAAGCCAUGUUUCUGUUCACCUGAAAAGGUAUCCAAUAUUAAAUUGUUUUUAGCUCUGUUUUGGUCUCAAACCACUCUUGAUACACAUUGUUUACCAGCUUGUCAUUAACCCUCUGUCCGUUGUUUGUUGCUGAGCAGGUAGUGUACAGUGGGUUUAUCAGAGCUUUUCUCUGAAAACAGCUGGCUGCUACUGCUGAAACAGAGUUGAUGUGAGUCAGUACGUUUACGUGCAUAGUGCACAGUACAUGCACAAUUAAGACGAGUUAUAGCUUGACUAGGCCAUUUAACUGGACCACUGUCCUUGUCCCAGUACACAAGCAUGGGAGGGGAAUCAAAGUAUAUCUGACUCUGCUACGAUGGGCGGUGAUAUGCCCCCUUUCAGCUUGUUAGUAUUGGACCUUUUUCCAGUUGACCUAUUAUGUCACAGACCAAACAAUCAACAAACAAGUUAGUUACUGUUAGCUAGCAGCAAACUGGUACCAUGGUGGACAACUUUACAGCUCUGUACAUUUCGUCCAUUCAACAAUGCACAUCUCUGGAUGUAGAUUUUGCCAUGUUGUUACCGGUUUCUUCUUCUGUUAUGCAUUUGAUGCUAUUUGACUUCAAGGUCAAAGCCCAAGGUGGAAACUGUGGAGCAUGCUCAGAGCGCCUCGGCCAGUUUGGGUCCGAUUGACUGUAUACGUGCAGGAGUAAUUCGACCACCAACCACAUUAUCUGGGUGUGUUCGUCCUAGUUUGAGAAAUUUGAUUUGUUCCGAUUUCAGUAGGACGCUGAAACGCUCCAUAGAACCGAAGGAAACUGCAGCAUUAGGUGAUAAUGAGAUGUGGAUCCAACCCCACGACCCACCCCUUUCACAUUACAGUCAUUUGAUCAAUUGUUUGCAUAAAAAACAUAUUGAUUAUAGGAACGUUAACAAAAUCAAAUCUUACUUGGCAACAAUAAAGGAUUUGUAGUCAAUGUACACAACAGGCUCCUCCUAUGUCAGACUCUGAGCUCUCAGCUGCCUCUAACCCAAACCCACAUAUGAUAAGUGAAUAUUUAUAUAUAUUGGGACUCAGUACAGCAUUUGGCACAGGCCAACUAGGUGUGACAGACUGUUCCUACAGACAAAAAGGACAUCCGGAGCUUGGAGUAUGGAGCAGGGAAAAUUAGUUACAAAAUAAACAAAUCACAAGGCUUUUAGAUGAGUUGCAUAAUAUGCAAUUUUGUUUUUGAACAACCAUGUUCAGGGCGGCACGUGGUUAGCACUGUCGCCUCCCAGCAAGAGGGUUGCCGGUUCGAUCCCGGGUGUGGGAGCCCUUCUGUGCGGAGUUUGCAUGUUCUCCCCGUGUCAGCGUGGGUUCUCUCCGGGUACUCCGGCUUCCUCCCACAGUCCAAAGACAUGCAGAUUGGGGACUAGGUUAAUUGAUAACUCUAAAUUGUCCGUAGGUGUGAAUGUGAGUGCGAAUGGUUGUUUGUCUCUAUGUGUCAGCCCUGUGAUAGUCUGGCAACCUGUCCAGGGUGUACCCUGCCUCUCGCCCGAUGCCAGCUGGGAUAGGCUCCAGCCCUCCUGCAACCCUCAAGAGGAUGAAGCGGUUAGAAGAUGAAUGAAUGAAUGAAUGAACAGCCAUGUUCAGGGAUUGAAAUGAACAACUUUGAACAGUUUUACUGUGACCGCUAACCCAUACAGUUACAACACAUUAAACAAUUGCUGCAUUAUGUGUAAUCACGUUUUGGCACAACAAUGUUCAAGUAUUGAAAUAAACAGUUUUACAAUUUAUUACACACUUGAAGAUGUGACUAUUAAAAAUAAACCCAUUGUCUCCAUACAAGGACAUCUUUUUACCAAAAAGGACUUACUGUUCAAAGACAAUGCUUAAUUUUUUUAUACUUAUCAGGUACUACAUUCCAAAAUAGCUCAGAGAAAUUGAAAAUGCAUACCAAACAAAAGCUGGAUGAAGGUUGCAGAAAGCAAUGUUGUUUGUCAGCCUGAAAACCUUUAGUGAAGUGACCAACUCCAAAGUUCACACAAUUAUUUCCUCUCUUAAUUGUUCAAGGUCAAAGGGUGUAUAUUCACCUUAUUUUUCACGGAAACACGGAGGCAAAACAGAACGCAGCCAGCUUCCGUUUUUUUGUGCGACACUUCCGGUCCGGCACUCUUGACCACUGUGUAAAUGGGAAUCGCCUUGUUGUUAACCUUGUUGAGUUUAGCUAUAUAUAUAUAUAUAUAUAUAUAUCUCACAUUUUUCACGCCACUGUAUCACCGUUUAGACUAAUCUGAUGUUUGUAAAGUCUAUAAACACAAUGAUUGAACAAACAUUACUAUUUCUGUGUGCACGUUUUGUAAUAACAUAGUUAUUGUAGAUUAGCUGGGCUAACCGUUAGCUGUUAGCUGUUAGCCGUUAGCCGUUAGCCGUUAGCCGUUAGGGGUGUCAGUAAUAACUCAAUAAACGGUCCGCAAAAAAAAUAUUUUUUCCAGUGGAUGUCUUAGUUACAACAUGAUUGAGCUAACUGGAGUAGUUUCAUGUCGUAUCCGACAACGGGAGGCUUUUAACAGAUGACGUCCCGAUGUUAGCUUUGCUGCUAGUGUUAGCUGUCCCUGUCAGCUGCAGCCACUGAUGCUUUCGAGACAUCGUGAUUUCCCAAAACUGUAACGUCUGGAUGGUUGAUGCGUACAUGCUGAUUCAGGUGCUAUCAGAGCCGAUCCGUGCAUCACUAUGGCGUAAUCAACUCAGUCAAUAAAAACAACCCGUCCUGUGUUAGGAGUGUAUGUCGCUGACACAAAGAAAGAAAGAAAAGGGAAAAAAGAUAGAAAAGCAGCGUACACCUCACAUAUUUAUUUCUCACAGUUGAGCACACGUUUGGCUGGCAUGCAGAAGCACCGUCUGUGUGUCGAGGGUGCGAGCCGCAGCUUCAGCUGCUCAGGUAGAGAGGCUGUGUAGCCCGGUGUGUUUUUUCGCUGAUUCGGUUCUGCAGGUUCUCUGCUGGUACACUGGAGACGGGGAUCAAGCAGUUUGUCUCACUCGAGAUAGAUUGUGCUUUUUGGGUUCAUAGUUUUUGAUUGACGUGCGAUUUAUUCGCAUUUAGAGGGAAUUAUUUUUACCGGCAAUUACCGGAUAACGGAAACGUGGGCACAGUUAUCUAUAUAAAAUACACAGACUAACUAACUAACUAACUGAUUGACUAACAUAAACAACUGAAAACUGAAUAUAAUUAGCUUGCACCGUUAGCUCCGGUAAGGGAAAGCGGCUGACCGGAAGUCACGCACAAAAACACGGAAGUUGAUCACUAUUUACUUCCGUGUUUGAAAAUAAGGUGGAUAGGAUGGACACAGUAUUCAUCAAAACUUGCAAGGUAGCACUCAUUUCCCCUAUUGCAAAAAUUGUUAAUUGGUCCAUUAAUGAAGAAGUGUUCCCAAGUGCUUGGAAAACUGCAGGUGAUCAUAUGGUCAUUAGAAAUUAUAGACCCAUUAGCAUACUUCCAGCAGUCACAUUUGAAUGCCACAUCCUUCUCAUUGCAUCCUAUGCCUCAAGGUUCAACUUUGGAUCCUCUGUUAUUUAGUUUGUUUAUUAAUGACCUAACUGAAGCUUGUCCGCCUACCGUAACUUGUCAGAUGUACGGUGAUGAAACGGUCUUAUAUUUACAUGCAAAAAACAAGUAGCAAGCAGCAGAGGAGCUAUUCGCUUCAAUGGCCAAUAUUUCUAAUUGGUUAACAAGCUCUUGUUUACAUUUGAAUGUCAGUAAAACUGUAUGUAUGUUUUUCUCCAAAUCUGUGAAUAGAGAUUCAGAUCCAGACGUUACAGUAGCAGGGAGAAGAUUAUCAGUAGUACAUGAGUAGUACAUAGUAAUAGAUUCACAGCUCACAUUCAAAACACAAGUCAAAAAAGUUGUGAACAGACUCAAGUUCAAUUUGGCAAAUUUUAAAUACAUCAGGAGCAACCUAACGACAGAGGCCUCAAAGUUGUACUUCAAUGCAAUGAUUUUUUCACACAUGAAAUACUGUCAGACCAGCUGUACUAAGACAGGCAAAACUACACUAAAACCAGUGGAAAGACUUUACAAACAGGCGUUAAAAACAUUGGAUAAAACCUUAAAUUCAUAUCAUCAUUGUAAAAUUUUAACUAAAUAUGAUUUUUUAAAUUGGGAAAAUAUGAUCAAAGUUGCCAAUAUUUUACUUGUAUAUAAAAUUCUUCAUGGCCUGGCAUCCCCUCUACUCAAUGAAUUCCUUACAUAAAAUCAGACCUCAUCUACCAGAUCUACCUCCAGGGGGGAUUGUAAAAUACCACAGAGAAAGAGCAGCUUUGGACAGUCAGCCUUUUCCAUUUAAACAGCACAUAUCUGGAACACUGUACCCACAGAACUCAGGAACAUCCCAUCUCUUAAGUCAUUCUCCAAAUUAAUAAAAA